UCGGGCUCGGCCGGGACGGGGCUUUCAGCCAGAGCCGCUCCGAGGCACCGCCGCUGAACCCGGCUCCGAGCGGUGCCCCUCGAGCAGCGGUCCUGGCGCGGUGCGGCUCCAGACGUCAGCUCCGUGCUCGUUUAACUGGGCUCGGCGUUUUUUAGAUUGCAGGGAGGCCGCGGACACCCCGCGCCCGGAGGCCACCGGCACAGCGCCUGCAGCGACGGCCGGCACACGGCGCUCCUCCGGCUGCGUUCGGCCGCGGUGCUUCCCUCGGUGCGGAGCAGAAGCGGCAUUGCCGAGGCUGGGAGAACGCAUGGGCUGAGGAUGGGGACGUGCUCCUUUGCACUCUCUUUACUGGUGUAGGAGCUUUCUGACACGCCACGGGCUGGACCGAAACUGCGGCAGCGUCCGUGGCACUGCGGUGACUCCGACAACAUCCCCUGUGAUGAAGGGAACGGAGAACGUGAGACAGAGAAAAAGGAAUAAAAGAUCCAGGAGAUAUGGCUCAGAACGCCGGUCUCGAAGCUCGAAUCGUUAUUGCUUAAUUAGCUUUGGAGAAAGGGGCUCUCUCGCUAAAGCACCCAGCAGGACCAUACAUAUAAUUUUCCUCCUAUCCCCCGGCGAUUGCUUAUGCAUUUCAUAAAGUGAAUUUUAGUGCGAACGCCUCCCUCGUGUCCUCCCCCAACUCCUCGCCUCUCAGGCCGCGCUUUGCUCUUCGGCUGCAGCCGCCACAGCCCUACACAACGUUCACAGGACUGGGCUCAGGGGCAGCUGACAAGUUUAUCCCAUCUCCCAUUUAUUGAUUUGAAUCGUUGUUCUUUUUUUCCCCUUCCCCACUCACAAACCAGUCGCUUAGAAAAGGGGGGGGGGGGGGGGAAGGAAAAAAAAAAAAAGGAAAAAAAAAAGCUCUCCCCGUAUGUCACUUUUUUUCCCCGCCAGGGAAAAAAAAAAGGUUGCACGUCAGGCGGGGAUCUCUGCUGCCAGACAGCACUUUCCGAGCUCGCCGCAGUUAAGAAGUUUUGGUGGCGACCGCGCCGAGGCUGCUUUUCCCUCUCCUCCACCCCGGGCUCUUUCUGUCUUUACGCACUUAUCUGGGGGUGACUCUCCGGGGACAGCAGAACGACGGCGGCGGGCCGUACAGCGGGACUCGGAGCCGCCCGGGGUCGGGCAGCGGCAGCCCCGCCGCGUCACGGGGUGCCGGGUCCCGUCCCGCUCCGGGCGGCAGCGAAUGGCCCCUCCUUCAUUCACCUUGCAGCUCCACUAAGCCAAGGAACCCCCCCAGCACCCCAAGGGCACCCCGGCCCUGCCGUCUCCACCCCCGGCUCUCUUUUCCCCUCGUUUUCUGCCUACCACAUCGCUCGGCCGCCCGCUGCACGGCUCGGAGUAGCGUUUGGAUUUAUAGCGUGCGUGAUGUCACCGGCCGGGAGCGAGGGAAUGGGAGAAGGGUGUAAUCCUCGGAUGGGUUUGGGGACACCGCGGUACCCCGCGCCCCAGCGGCACUUCCUUCCUCCGAGGCACCGCUCAGGAGUCCGUGAAAGACCACAAAGCCUCAGGAAAGCGGACUUCUUUAGAGAGGCACCGGAGAAAUAUCAUUUGAAGGUCAACCUGUCAGCGUGGGUUAAUGAAAAGGACUUGUGCCUAAUGGGCCUACUUAUGCCCGCAGUUACACUCAGGCAACCUCGAUUUCAGCGUCUGGGGCAGAGGGCAGAAUUGGGCCCACCAGGCCCGAACUAAUUGCUGCCCUUGAAGGCGGAGGAACCCUGCUUUACGUUACUGCUAUGGGGUACGGACGUCCACACGUUUCGGGCACGAUAACCUACGCAGUGUGUUAAAAAAGAGGAAAAGCAAAAGGCAUACAUAAAAAAAGCAGGGACGAGGAUAACCCGAGACAGUGAGCACUGCGCAGGUUGCAGUGAUUGGCGGUAAGCGCGGGACCGUGCGCAUUUUCCUACUGCAUGUGUGAGCAAUUAUUGCUGAUAUUCGUCACCGAGGAUCCAGAGUUGCAUUCAGACCUCAGGAAGAAAUCACGGAAAGAAAAAGAGAAUGCAACGAACUCAAACCAAGAGCCCUUCUUUGUCAGAAGGGCGAUAAUAAAGGCUGUGUGAAACGCCGCUGUGAGCGCACAGUGCAUCUCUCUGUUCCUGGGUUGCCAAUCUCCUGAACACCCCCGUGCAUUAUCACGCACACGGAUGCCUACAGACACGCACACAUUUUUCCAUGUAAUGUUGUUUGCGUUCCUGGCAAAGAGCAUCCUGAAUCCGCUCUUGAGCCCGGCGCCGGUGAACUCGCUCGCGGGUGCCACUGCUUUAUUACCGAUUUCUCCUCCAGCAACCGAAGUUCCCGCACUGGAGGGGUUGGGUUGGCAUCGUUUGGGGUUUGACAAAGCUCAACGCUCCCAUUGUUAUCGACGGAAAGACCCCACCGGACAAGGCAGGGCUUUAAGUAGCGUUCACACAUCAAAGGCAACCGAGCCUGGUUUAACAGACGUCCCACCGGAGGGUGGGAAAUCCCCUCGGCGUCCCCCUCCCCGCAGCCCGAGCUGUGCGUGCCCGAUGCCCCGUUGCCGUGCGCCCGCAUGGCAGCGUCGGUCCCGCACUUGUCGGGGGCAGCGGAGCGCGGGGCCUCGGCGCGUAUCUCGGUGUAAUUGAUCUGCCCGAGUGAGGUCUUUUUGGUAAUUUGGAUACACCGAGUCUCCAGUUAAUGACAUAUAAUCAGCCUUUAGGUCACUUGGUCAUUCUCUUAUUACAAACUCCUCCUGCUCUCUCUGAUCUCCUUUCAAACUAAAUUUCACACAAACAAAUAAAGCAAGACAGGGACAAGUCCUUAAAACGCGAGAGAGAAAUAUCGGAGAAUUGCUCGUGGGGAACUAUAAACAUUUUAAAAAGAAAACCCGAAAAGAUAGGAAGGAACAUCUUAUCGAGAAAGAGAGCAUUGUGUACAAAGCACGGGGGAAAUCGGUCUGGCUUCUGUUAAAAAUGACAUAAAAUUAAAAUAAAAAUAAUUACAAACAGAAAUGGCAUGGCAGAAACAGAGGGCAGGAGGCUUUACUGGAACCGCGCGACCGCGCCGUAACGCGCUCUGACGACACUACGGCCGAUCCGCGGGUGUGGAAAACGCUCAUUUGCUUCCCGUUAGCCGGCAAAAGAAAGGGGAAAAAAAAACCCCUAAAAGCCUUUUCUCUUCGGGAAAGUAACAGAAAGAGCCGCCUGUCAUUUACCUCCCGAGACCUGCAGGGAAACGGAGCCGCGGCCAAAGCCUUGGGUGUAAAUGCGACAACAAAAAUAAAUAUUUGACAUCACCGCGCAGAACAUAUUUUACGAAGUCAACACUUUGUUUUUCUGCUUUUCAUUUUUUUCCACCCCCCUUCCCCUGUCGGAAAAGACAAUGCCCCUUUUUAUUAGGUGCUCCUUAGGAGGUUAUUUUGAUCUCUCUCCAGGUCCGUCUCUCUGCGGGGAACACCGCGCUGCGGUGCGCGCAGAGCGCGGGGCGUUGGACGGAGCCGGGCUGGGG
ensembl:lncRNA